GAUGAACGCUGGCGGCGUGCUUAACACAUGCAAGUCGAACGGAACUACUCCAAUGAGAGUCUUCGGAAAGGAUUUGGUUUAGUUUAGUGGCGGACGGGUGAGUAACGCGUGGGUAACCUGCCCUAUACAGGGGGAUAACAGUUGGAAACGACUGUUAAUACCGCAUAAGCGCACAGGAGCGCAUGCUCCGGUGUGAAAAACUCCGGUGGUAUAGGAUGGACCCGCGUCUGAUUAGCUGGUUGGCGGGGUAACGGCCCACCAAGGCGACGAUCAGUAGCCGGCCUGAGAGGGUGAACGGCCACAUUGGGACUGAGACACGGCCCAAACUCCUACGGGAGGCAGCAGUGGGGAAUAUUGCACAAUGGGGGAAACCCUGAUGCAGCGACGCCGCGUGAGCGAAGAAGUAUCUCGGUAUGUAAAGCUCUAUCAGCAGGGAAGAAAAUGACGGUACCUGACGAAGAAGCCCCGGCUAACUACGUG
rnacentral:rRNA from 1 species